rnacentral:rRNA from 1 species
UAAACUAGGAUUAGAUACCCUAUUAUUUUAAAUGUAAAAAUUUAUAAAUACUAAAUUAGUAUUAGUUAUGUUCUUGAAAAUUAAAAAAUUUGGCGGUAUUUUAGUCUUUUCAGAGGAAUCUGUCCUGUAAUUGAUAGUCCACGAUUAAAUAUACUUUAUUUAUUAGUUUAUAUAUCGUCGUAGUUUGAAUAUUUUAAAAGAAGUUUAAUAUUCAAAAUUUUAAAUUAAAAAAUAAAUCAGAUCAAGGUGUAGUUUAUAAUAAAGAAGAGAUGGAUUACAAUAAAUUUAUUUUAGGAUAAUUUAUUAAAAAUAAAUUUGAAUUUGGAUUUGAAAGUAAUUUUAAAUAUUUCUUUGUUAUGAUUAUAGCUCUAAAAUAUGUACACAUCGCCCGUCGCUCUUAA